UACGAAGGGGGCUAGCGUUGUUCGGAAUUACUGGGCGUAAAGCGCGCGCAGGCGGUCUUCCAAGUCAGUGGUGAAAGCCCGGAGCUCAACUCCGGAACUGCCAUUGAAACUGUAAGACUUGAGGAUGAGAGAGGUGAGUGGAAUUCCCAGUGUAGAGGUGAAAUUCGUAGAUAUUGGGAAGAACACCGGUGGCGAAGGCGGCCUGCUGGGCAGUUUGGCUGACACUGAGGCGCGACAGCGUGGGGAGCAAACAGG
rnacentral:rRNA from 1 species